CGCUGGCGGCAUGCCUCAUACAUGCAAGUCGAACGAGGUCUUCGGACCUAGUGGCGCACGGGUGAGUAACAUGUGGGAAUCUGCCUGAAGGUUCGGAAUAACUGCGGGAAACUGUAGCUAAUACCGGAUGUGUCUGUAAAGAGAAAGAUUUAUCGCCUUCAGAUGAGCCCGCACUAGAUUAGCUAGUUGGUGAGGUAACUGCUCCACCAAGGCUACGAUCUAUAGCUGAUUUGAGAGGAUGAUCAGCCACACUGGGACUGAGACACGGCCCAGACUCCUACGGGAGGCAGCAGUAGGGAAUAUUGGACAAUGGGGGAAACCCUGAUCCAGCAAUGCCGCGUGAGUGAAGAAGGCCUUCGGGUUGUAAAACUCUUUCAUCAAUGAUGAUAAUGACAUUAGUUGAAGAAGAAGCUCCGGCUAACUUCGUGCCAGCAGCCGCGGUAAUACGAAGGGGGCUAGCGUUGUUCGGAAUCACUGGGCGUAAAGCGUAUGUAGGCGGAUCAAAAAGUUAGAUGUGAAAUCCCUGGGCUCAACCCAGGAACUGCAUUUAAAACUAGUGAUCUAGAAUUUGGUAGGGGUUAGUAGAAUUUCCAGUGUAGAGGUGAAAUUCGUAGAUAUUGGAAAGAAUACCAGUGGCGAAGGCGACUAACUGGGCCAUUUUUGACGCUGAGAUACGAAAGCGUGGGUAGCAAACAGGAUUAGAUACCCUGGUAGUCCACGCAGUAAACGAUGAGUGCUAGUCGCUGGGACAAUAGUUUCAGUGUCGAAGCUAACGCAUUAAGCACUCCGCCUGGGAAGUACGGU
rnacentral:rRNA from 1 species